AGUGAACUUGCACGUGAAUAAAUUAAUCGAUAUGUCCUAAUUAUGUAUAUAGACAGAGAGAGAUCAACGACCGGUUUGAAGGUCGGUGAAAAGAUUUCAUUGUAACGUGGCCAUUGUAAAAGGGAGUUGCACGUUGGACGAAUAAUCAAUUUCCGGUUCCUCAUUGUCGAUGCACUGCCGUGAUCACACUCGCGAUCACCCGUGUAACUUUAUGGCGAUAGAAAUUUCUUCGAGGUGGGGCCGAUGAUAGGACGGAGCCGUGUACGAGCUUCGUAUAACGAAACACCCGUCCGACGAACCAUCCCCGACGAAAGAGGAAGUUAAAAAAUUUAAACAACGGUAAAUACAUGCUUAUCGCGUUCGACAAACGUCACGAUCACGUUCGAUCUCGAUCAACGAUCGAGGAACGGAGAACUAGCCGAUUUCGCGAUUCAGAAUGAUGGCAGUAAUGAGUCAUCGAAUCGAUUCGAGAGUAAAUCCUUGACGGAGGACGGAAGGUCGAUAGGUGCCCAAGCGUACUUGACCCUGGCUUUAUCGGUUCAAGGCGAGGUGGAAAGCCACUUCCGUCUCUCGAUCUUGGUUUUUUGGAACGGCGCGGCGGGGGCUGGGCGGUUGGAGGAGGUUGGGCGAAGAACUAUCCCUUAACUUGGGUGGGGAAUCGUCUUCUUAUUUACCUAGAGCGUAUUAGAGAAUGCUUAAUAAUCGCAGCUCGGUCAGAGGCAGGUGGUGGUGGCUUGACCGACUUUUAAAGAAACCUUGGGGGGAGUUGGGCGGCAUCUUCAGUUAGACAUUGGACUCCGUCGAAGGCGAAGAGUCGGAAAAAAGAGCCGGAGGGUGCGACGCGAGGGAGACACGCUCGAUUAUCGAUUAAUGGUAACGAUCGAUUGUCAAGAAAUUUGCUUUCUUCCCUGCCUCCAUCGUGCACAGAACGAAAACGAAGAUGCGGCUGUCGAUGGUGGUCGAACUGUUGCUGAUUCUUCUUUUGGUCGCGUUCGCCGCUUAUGGCAGGGUGAUCGAACGCGAUGGAAAAACGGAGGAGAGAUCAAUCGGAAAUGCGAGCGAGGAUAACCUUGGAAUAUCGACGUUGUCGUUAAAACAGGCGACCGACGAUGUGAAUAGAUAUUGCACCUGCAACGAGAACAUAUGUAAUUGUUGCAGAGACUUCCAUAUACCUUUGGUGCAAUUACAAGGACCAGGAUGCGCAUCCCUGCAAUACAUACAAGGGGAUAAUUUAGCCGUACAACUUAGCUUCGGAGAUAACAUCUUAACCAGCACCAUCGUAAAUGGGAAAAAUCCGAAACCCGUGUGCGUCCCGUUGCCAGGAGGAUUUACGAAAUUCUGCGGUAGAAUUUAUUCCAUUAAACGGGAUGCCAAGAAUCAUUUCAAAGCCUGCCUUGGACUGGAGUUGCAAUCAUCGACCGAACUCGAAGCUAGUUUACGCGUCAGCUGUUUCAGAUUUGGGCCGGACGGUCUCAAGUUACGUCCAGCGGAACCGCUUCCUGUAGUGGAGACCGAGGUCCCGGACGAAGACGACGACGACGAUUUCUUCGGCCUGGACUCGGACGAGGAUGAGGAAGACGACGACUCCGAGGAGGACACGCCGUUGGCCAACGCUGUCCCAGAUUCCUCCUCGGCGGAAGAGGACGAGGACGAGGACGAGGACGAGGAUGUGCUCGGGUUCGGGGCACUUUUGGAUAUCAUUACCGGAGAGGACGAAAGCGCGACCAAGAGGCCGAAAGUAACCACGCCCGCGCCUCUUCUCCAAUUCACGAUCCCCAUUUUAACCAAGCCGACAACUUCGUCUGUUUCUAAUUCCAACGUUGGAGGCGACGUGGUCGCGAGCACCAACUCGGAAGAAUUCUCGAACGCGGAUGAAGAGAGCGUUAACGAAGCGGAUGACGAAUCCGUGGACACUGACACGACGAUCAAAGAGGCAACCGUGACGGAGCCCUCGAAUAAAAUAGCGAAGCCGGAUAAGGCACCGACGAAGAAAUUCACGGUGUCGAGUACGAAGAAGCCGAGCGUUACGAGUUCCAGCAUCAACGCGAUCGAGAACGAGGCGAAUAAGAAAAGGAAACCUUUGAGGAAACCGGUGAAGGGCGGCGAAGAGGAUGAGGACGAUGAUAUCCUAGGGGAAGGCCUGGACGACGACGACGACGACGAUGACGAGGAUGAGGAGAUUUUGAGCGACGACGACGACGAGGAUGAGAAGAAUAGCGAAGAGGAAGAGGAAGAGGGUGAGAAGAACGACGAGAGCGAGAAUCAUGAGGACGAGGACGAGAAAGCUGAAAUCGAAGAUUUGGAUGAUGACGAUGACGAGGAAGAGGAUGCGGUAAUCAGCGCGUUGGUUUACGAUGAUAAAGAAGAUGGGAAGAAGAAAGGCAAAGUGAAGAAACACGAUCAGUCGUCCGAAGCGGACGAUGAUGACUCGGAUUAUGGAUUGGGCCUCACCGGGCUUCUAGCGAGAAACAGACAUUCGAGAAAUAAUCGUCAAAGCAAAGAAAUGAGAUUUCCGAUGAUUGAAAAUUCAACUCUCGUCGUAGAGUCGUAGAAUAAUUAAAGAUUAUUGUGUGACGAUGUUUUUUUCAAAAAAAGAAAAGAAAAGAAAAGAAAAACUUGUAAAAUAUCUUGACUUUUUGAGCAAUGUUUAAUUACUUAACAUUCGUUCAACGUUUUGCUAUAAAUCAUCGUUGAUUUCACGAAGUAUGUAUGGAGACUGAUAACUUUUUUCUUUCAUUUUUCUCUUCUUUAUCGAAUAUAUUAUUUAUAUAUAUUAUCUAUAAGCGUACAAAGAAUUAAAAAAGAUGAUUCAAAUAAUGAUUGAGAUAAAUUUUCUUAUCUGACGUAAUUUGAAAUAAAAACGAAGUUGAAAUGAUAUCUCAUCAAAUCUGAUAAACUAUUUUAUAAUUAAUAUAUAUAUAUAUAUAUUUUCUUUUAUAUGAUAAAAUAUUACGAUAAAAUAUCAUACAAAAAUAUAAAGCGAAUCAUCUAUUAUCUCAGUCAGGACGUAUUGUGCAUAACAUAAGCCAUAUAAAUUUGUGCAAAUAAUGUAAUACUUUUUAAUUAAAUCACUCUUGUUACAUUUUCAAUAUUACUUUCUAGUUUAUUGAUGGUCAUCUCAAUUGAAUUUUAGUCUUCGAUCUGAAUCGUUAGAUAUUAUCGAACCCUUCUUUUUUUUUCCUUCCUCUUCCUUAAAAUCAUGUUGUUCAAAUUGUUCAACGUUCUCGUGAAAUUUUUAAUGAUACAGACUAUUUGUACCGCUACGUA